rnacentral:rRNA from 1 species
UACGUAGGGCGCAAGCGUUGUCCGGAAUUAUUGGGCGUAAAGAGCGUGUAGGCGGCCAGGUAGGUCUGGUGUGAAAACUCGAGGCUUAACCUCGAGAUGUCAUCGGAAACCAUUUGGCUAGAGUCCGGAAGAGGAGAGUGGAAUUCCUGGUGUAGCGGUGAAAUGCGCAGAUAUCAGGAAGAACACCAAUGGCGAAAGCAGCUCUCUGGGACGGUACUGACGCUGAGACGCGAAAGCGUGGGGAGCGAACAGG